UAACAGGGGGGCAAGCGUUGUUCGGAAUUACUGGGCGUAAAGGGUCUGGUAGGGUGGCCAACUAAGUCAGACGUGGAAAUCCCUCAGCUUAACUGGGAACCGCGUCUGAUACUGGAUGGCUUGAGUGUGGGAGAGGAAGUGCGGGAAUUCCAGGUGUAGCGGUGAAAUGCGUAGAUAUCUGAAGGAACACAGUGGCGAAAGCGACUUCCUGGACCAAUACUGACGCUCAUGUGCGAAAGCGUGGGAGCA
rnacentral:rRNA from 1 species